UAACUAUAUCCAAAGUAAGUGUAUCAGACAAAAUGGCAUAUCCUUCUCCAGUAACAGGACUUGUACUCCCAUUAGCUGUAAAUAUAAUGGAUUAAGAAGAUGAGCAAAUGGAUUGUAACUGGGAAGGGUCUUUAGUCAUAUGAUCAUAUCCACCUGUAUCAAUAAUCCAAGUUGUAUUCUUAGAAGUUACAGAAAAAAUAUUUGUUUGAUUGAGAAUACCUGGGUGAACAACAUUUGCUAUAAGCUGCAAAUUAUCUUUCGUAUUAAAUUCAACUUCCUUAGACGAUCUCGUCGUAGUUUUCCCUACAAUCUUUUUCUGUGGUUUCUUUGAGAAAUCCCAUCAUUUAGGAUAACUAAUGAUUUCAUAGCAUUAUUUUUUAAAAUGACAUGUCUCACCCUAAUGGCUGCACACAAAAUUGUUGGACUUUCCAAUGGAUUGAUUAUUUCAAGUUUUGGUGAUGUCAAGGAUAAUCCAUUCGGUUUUCAAUUAACAAGCAUGGCUGAGCUUUCUGUAAUCACUUGAGAACCUCCCAUUGUCUGUCGUUAUUGGUAGUCUUUUCUUAUAUGUACAUAUACACUCUCUAAUUCCAGUUUUGGAUCUUUUUACAAGAUUUCUCCAUGAACUUGAUCAAACUCAAAAUCAAGUCCACUUAAAAAAAUAUGAACUCGAAGUCUAGCCAUUGCAAAAUGCAACUGGACAACUCUUUCAACUGUUUCUACUUGAGAGUCAGUCCUAUGAUCAAUUUUCUAAAAAAUAGCAACAAGUUCAUUAUAGUAAAUAGACAGUGGUCUACCAUUUUGUGUGGUAGAAAAGGUCUUCUAACUUAAUU
rnacentral:lncRNA from 1 species